rnacentral:rRNA from 1 species
UGCUACGGCCAUGCCACCCUGAACAGGCCCAAUCUCGUCUGAUCUCAGAAGCUAAGCAGGGUCGGGCCUGGUUAGUACUUGGAUGGGAGACCACCUAGGAAGACCAGGUGCUGUAGGCG